rnacentral:rRNA from 1 species
UACAGAGGGUGCGAGCGUUAAUCGGAAUUACUGGGCGUAAAGCGUGCGUAGACGGCUAUCUAAGUCGGGUGUGAAAGCCCCGGGCUCAACCUGGGAAUUGCAUUUGAGACUGAAUAGCUAGGGUGCGGAAGAGGGAAGCGGAAUUUCCGGUGUAGCAGUGAAAUGCGUAGAGAUGUGGAGGAACACCGAUGGCGAAGGCAGCCCCCUGGGUCAAGAUUGACGCUCAUGCACGAAAGCGUGGGGAGCAAACAGG